UACAGAGGGUGCGAGCGUUAAUCGGAAUUAUUGGGCGUAAAGGGCGCGUAGGCGGCUUGACAAGUCCCGGGUGAAAUCCCUCGGCUCAACCGAGGAACUGCCUUGGAAACUGUCUGGCUUGAGGCCGGGAGAGGGUAGUGGAAUUCCCAGUGUAGCGGUGAAAUGCGUAGAUACUGGGAGGAACACCGGUGGCGAAGGCGGCUACCUGGACCGGUUCUGACGCUGAGGCGCGAAAGCGUGGGUAGCAAACAGG
rnacentral:rRNA from 1 species